CCUACGGGUGGCAGCAGUGAGGAAUAUUGGUCAAUGGCCGGAAGGCUGAACCAGCCAAGCCGCGUGAAGGACGAAGGUGCCAAGCAUUGUAAACUUCUUUUGUCAAGGGACAAAAUCAGGCUCGAGAGCCUGACCGAGGGUACUUGAAGAAAAAGCAUCGGCUAACUACGUGCCAGCAGCCGCGGUAAUACGUAGGGGGCAAGCGUUAUCCGGAUUUACUGGGUGUAAAGGGAGCGUAGACGGUAUGGCAAGUCUGAAGUGAAAGCCCAGGGCUUAACCCUGGGACUGCUUUGGAAACUGUUAGACUAGAGUGCUGGAGAGGUAAGUGGAAUUCCUAGUGUAGCGGUGAAAUGCGUAGAUAUUAGGAGGAACACCAGUGGCGAAGGCGGCUUACUGGACAGUAACUGACGUUGAGGCUCGAAAGCGUGGGGAGCAAACAGGAUUAGAUACCCCAGUAGUC
rnacentral:rRNA from 1 species